rnacentral:lncRNA from 1 species
CUCUAGUUCAGCUAUAUCAUGUUCUGCAGGAUGGGAUCUUUGCUUCCGUCUAGACCUAAAGGAAAUCCACUAUCCAUUUGAAUGACUCCAGAGGCAGUCUGUGACCCUGUUUAAAUGGAUGACAGCGUCUGAGACUCACUUGAUUUGCUGAGCAGCUUCCAAAGUAGUUCUUCUCAUCGAUCUGAGGCCUGCAGUGGCCGUGAGCGUGCAGUCGAGCAGAGAGGUUUGAGACUGAAGAAUGUGGGUCAUGUUUAAGUCGACUCGUGCGCUGAACCC